GACGAACGCUGGCGGCGUGCUUAACACAUGCAAGUCGAACGGAAAGGCCCUGCUUUUGUGGGGUGCUCGAGUGGCGAACGGGUGAGUAACACGUGAGUAACCUGUCCUUGACUUUGGGAUAACUUCAGGAAACUGGGGCUAAUACCGGAUAGGAGCUCCUGCUGCACGGUGGGGGUUGGAAAGUUUCGGCGGUUGGGGAUGGACUAGCUGCUUAUCGGCUGGUUGGUGGGGUAGUGGCUUACCAAGGCUUUGACGGGUAGCCGGCCUGGGAGGGUGACCGGCCACAUUGGGCCUGAGGUACGAACCAGACUCCUACGGGAGGCAGCAGUGGGGAGUAUUGCGCAAUGGGCGGGAGCCUGUUGCAGCAGCGCCGCGUGCGGAAUGACGGCUUUCGGGUUGUAAACCGCUUUCGCAUGUGACGAAGCGUGAGUGACGGUAAUGGGUAAAAAAGCACCGGCUAACUACGUG
rnacentral:rRNA from 1 species